rnacentral:rRNA from 1 species
UACGGGGGGGGCAAGCGUUGUUCGGAAUUACUGGGCGUAAAGGGCUCGUAGGUGGCCAACUACGUCAGACGUGAAAUCCCUCGGCUUAACCGGGGAACUGCGUCUGAUACUGGAUGGCUUGAGAUUGGGAGAGGGAUGCGGAAUUCCAGGUGUAGCGGUGAAAUGCGUAGAUAUCUGGAGGAACACCGGUGGCGAAGGCGGCAUCCUGGACCAACACUGACACUGAGGAGCGAAAGCCAGGGGAGCAAACGGG